rnacentral:rRNA from 1 species
UUGCUACUCUGGCGUCGAGCGGCGGACGGGUGAGUAAUGCUUGGGAACAUGCCUUGAGGUGGGGGACAACAGUUGGAAACGACUGCUAAUACCGCAUAAUGUCUACGGACCAAAGGGGGCUUCGGCUCUCGCCUUUAGAUUGGCCCAAGUGGGAUUAGCUAGUUGGUGAGGUAAUGGCUCACCAAGGCGACGAUCCCUAGCUGGUUUGAGAGGAUGAUCAGCCACACUGGGACUGAGACACGGCCCAGACUCCUACGGGAGGCAGCAGUGGGGAAUAUUGCACAAUGGGCGCAAGCCUGAUGCAGCCAUGCCGCGUGUGUGAAGAAGGCCUUCGGGUUGUAAAGCACUUUCAGUCAGGAGGAAAGGUUAGUAGUUAAUACCUGCUAGCUGUGACGUUACUGACAGAAGAAGCACCGGCUAACUCCGUGCCAGCAGCCGCGGUAAUACGGAGGGUGCGAGCGUUAAUCGGAAUUACUGGGCGUAAAGCGUACGCAGGCGGUUUGUUAAGCGAGAUGUGAAAGCCCCGGGCUCAACCUGGGAACUGCAUUUCGAACUGGCAAACUAGAGUGUGAUAGAGGGUGGUAGAAUUUCAGGUGUAGCGGUGAAAUGCGUAGAGAUCUGAAGGAAUACCGAUGGCGAAGGCAGCCACCUGGGUCAACACUGACGCUCAUG